rnacentral:rRNA from 1 species
UACAGAGGUCCCAAGCGUUGUUCGGAUUCACUGGGCGUAAAGGGUGCGCAGGUGGGUUGGCAAGUUCGAUGUGAAAGCCCCGGGCUUAACCCGGGAAUGGCAUUGGAAACUGCUGAUCUGGAGGAUCGGAGGGGGGACUGGAAUUCUUGGUGUAGCAGUGAAAUGCGUAGAUAUCAAGAGGAACACCAGUGGCGAAGGCGAGUCCCUGGACGAUACCUGACACUGAGGCACGAAAGCCAAUGGAGCAAACAGG